GGGGGCGUAUUGGUUUCGACGGGGAUCAUUUUUGGCAGAUAAGCAAGCGGCAGUUUCCAAAUCUGCGUUAAAAAAGUGGAAUUAAAAAUAAACGCUAACGACAAUACAGUUUUAGCUGCUGCCUAAUUGCAGCAUGCCCAAUUCCUGAAUUCCCUGUUCGGUCAGGAAGGGCAUCAAAACAGAACAGGAUAGCACCUGAUUUGCAGCUCUGAGAGUCAGGCGAAUUUUACAGAGCUACUGAUCGGUUUCCAGCAGAAAGGGUACACCGAAAAGGAAUUUUAUACUUUCUGAUAAGCUUGUAGAAAGUUUGCUGUAAAGGUUUUCGGACAGGGGUUCGACUCCCCUCGCCUCCACCA
rnacentral:tmRNA from 1 species